rnacentral:misc_RNA from 1 species
UCCGAUUUGUCACCUGUGUCCAGGUUCCCUUUCGGGCACCGCUGCAUUUCUGCAGCGUUCCUGGCAUGUCAAGGGUAGGUAAGGUUUUUCGCGUUGCAUCGAAUUAAACCACAUCAUCCACCGCUUGUGCGGGCCCCCGUCAAUUCCUUUGAGUUUUAAUCUUGCGACCGUACUCCCCAGGCGGAUGACUUCACGCGUUAGCUGCGUUACUAAAGGAUUUAACUCCUCCAACAACUAGUCGUCAUCGUUUAGGGCGUGGACUAC